GUUGUCCUUUCACUAUCCUUUUUAUGCCAUGUGUUUGCAUUUGGUUUGCUAUGGGGCUUGGUUAGGGCAUAUAAUUCAAAGUGGCACACCUACCCUUAGGUGCUUUUUAGGCAGGAAAUAAAGCAAUUAGAGUUUACCUAUAAAUAGAGAACUCAAACCAACCUACUAUUCACCUUGCAUCCUAAAUGUUCUAGAGAAAUAAAUUGAGGAGCGAAAGUUACAUAGGCAACCAGAAAUCACUAUCGUCGCCACAUGUAUUUUCCGCUCUCUCUGACAUGUUCUCAUCGCGAAGGCUCCCCUUUAACUUUCCCUCACCGAUCAUCUCUAAACAACCAUUGUAAGUCCCAUUUAUAAUUUUUCUCAAUGUUUUUCAAUUUAUUUAUGUUUGAAUCUUUUCGAAGUUAGUUGCGAUGUCUGUCUUUUGCUUAGGUCUGCAAUUUUUGUAGUUUGCUCGCUUUCGAAAUGCCUAAGUCGCGAAUUUAAGUUUGUCAUGGUCGCUCGUAUGGCAUUAACUUGCGGAUGUUUAGUUUCUCGGACACCAAGUGCUUUAGGUUGCCUUGCGAUCCAUUUCAUUGUGAAAUUGUUGUAUAUGACGUGGGUUGUGCCAUGAAUGCUCGUUAUUAAAGUGAAAAACUCGGGCGGUGCCCCCAUGCUUAGGUUUAGGGUUUGUCCACUAAGUAUGUGUGCUGACAGAACAUCGAGUCGCAUAAACAACUUAAAUGAGUUCCCUAAAACACACCGUAUCUCGGGUGAUGUAUAGCUAGGAUACAUAGGGUAGAGCUCGAAACUCGCAUGCAGUUCAUCUCGCUCUAGUACGUUAUUUGUCGUUGAUCCAAACUAGGCAAGGAUCUUAAACUGACAGGAUUUUGUUUAGUUUUAAACACAUGGAACUUAAUCAAGCUCAUCAGCUAAUGCAUGACGAUGUUUCCUUAGCAAGAUUUAGGAGAUAUCAUGAGAUUCUGAAUGAUGUCCUUAUAAAACAACCUUGUCCGCAUGGGGUAGUUGCUACCGUACAAGAUAACAAUGACUACAUCCUGGUCCGCACAUGGCUUAUUCAUCAAGUCGAACUUCGGUUUUUGGUCUGCCCAAUAUUAAAAGAGGUGAUGGCUCACUGUGGCCUUGCCUUCAUUCAAGUUUCCAUCAAUUUUGUCAAGACUAUUCUCGCUGUCGACACCUUGAUGUGAUGGGAGGGGCUGCAAUUUUUAGCCUCUGAUCUAUUGAAAGUGUAUACCAUAGUUCGGAUAAAAUGGGAGCCCUCUAGAACCUUUUUUAAUGGGAAUCACUAUAUGAGGCUUAGAAUUAGCUAAUAGCCUUGGAUAUUUUGUUUGUGUGUCUGGAAUUUUGGGAGUUCCGCCUAGUGAUGAUGGGUUGUAGUCCUUCCUAUGAACGAAUGGUAGUAUUGAUGAUGAUAAGGUCUUAUCUCGUCAUUGCUACGUGUACUUUGUUGUAUUCGUUAUGGCAUAUCUGAUCAUGGUUAUAGAUUGCAUUUCGUUUUGUUUACUUGCAAGUUUUCAAUAAAGCAUUCCAAGACAAGCUCGGAGCCUUGGCAGGCCGUAUUAGGAAUGUCCAACAAACAAUCGAGAAUCGCCGGCCCAAUGUUUGUGACUUGCUCUAGUAAACAGACAUUUAUUGCCAUAACCAUCCCCCAAGCUGACAACUUUGGGCAGUUACCUAACCCACCUUUGGAUAUCAGAGACUAGAAGACCUCACACAACGUGCUUAGUCUUCAAGUUUAGAUGACUAGACUAUCAACCGGAUAAACAUUAAUGCCAUGACUUCACAAGGAAGGUAGAGGAGCAAGAGGUAAGUACUAGUAGCUCCGAUUUGGUUUAGCUUUCUAGGAGUGAGCAACGAGCUACUCUUACUGAGGAAAAGGAAAAGGAAGAGAAGGAGAAAGACGAAGAGGAAGCUAUUUAGGGUGGUAACUUUGCCGCAACCAAUACAGUCCUUAUAUCGAGCUCGAACAACGGGGCUCGCGAGGUUGUCUUACUCCACCCGAUCCUAGAACCAGGAGCUAUAAGGGAAGAGGUUGAACACUCCUUAUAAGGAGAAGAAGAAGAAGAUGUGUCCAACUCAGCUUCAGUCAUGCCGCCAAAGUUGCUGAAGAUUGGUGGGAAGUCCUUUGGCGUUGCUCCAUAGAAGGGGCAGAUUUUCCACCCACCCCCAGGUUCAAAGCUCCAUUCCUAUUACCCGGAAGAACAAGAAGAAGGACAAAGUGAAGAGGCAUGAGGUAGGAGCCACCAGGAAAAGGCAUCGCGGGACCUGCAAAAGCUCUACUGGUGGCUCCCCCUCGACCUCAAUUUUUACCCAGACUUCUGGAAUCUCAAGCUAUUAGUUUGGGAGCUCGGCCAUCGCGUGACCUAUGACUACACUUUGUGUGACUUCGAGACUUGCCUUGCAGUGGCACAUGCUACAAUGUUGUUGUGCGAUGUUGUCGAGUUCCAAUAGGAGGAUGAGUUGAAGGAUUACAACAUGUCGAUCAUGGAGAACCUCCAAGUAAGUUCUUUACCUUGGUUCGGUUUAUCUUUCAUUGAGACUUAUAAGAUUUUUAGCCUUACUUCAGAGAUUGGUGGUAAACUAUCAGUGCAAGAAGUGCUUGGAUGACACGAAGAAGGCUAAAAAAAAGCCAACCAUCCUAAAGAGUGAUCUGAAGAAGAGAGAGGAGGAGCUUGCUGUUGCUACCAAUGAGAUGAAAAAGAAAUAUGAGGAGAUCCCUUGAAGAAUGUGUUUCUAUUCUGGUAUGCCUACUGAUCAUCUUCCCCUCUUUUGGGAAAUUGAAGGCUAAGAGCUUUACAGGUCUAGAGAAUUGGAAUCAAAAUUUAUAGCAAUUGCUUUUUUAAUUUUUUUAAACCUAUUAAUAUUUAUAUAGUCAGGAUGUAACACCCCACCCAAAAAUAAUCGUAACAAUCCAUACAAUAGGGCAUUAUCCACAUACUAUCCGUAUAAUCACUAUAAAUAUAAUAAAAUCACACAGCUAACGAGUGAUACAAAACAAAUCCUUCAUCCAAGUAUUGUUACAAACUUUACCCACAACUAACUAUAUAUGAACACUUGUAAAACAUAAACUCAAUAUAGGUCAGACCUAACUCACUAAAAGUACAAAUUUCAAUCUCUACAACUUAGCAGUGAACCCUUUCGCCAGCAUGCAAUUGAAAAGAAAUAUUGUAAAGGUGUGAGCUAACCACAUGCUCAGUGAAUGUACAACUCAUAUAUCACAUCAUAUCAAAUAAAUUUAUCCCCACAGUUCACAAUAUAUGCAUAACAAUAUAAAUCAACCACAAUUUCUAAGUAUGUUAUUCCACAAAGGCAAUAUAUCAUUCCAUAGGACAAUGUAAUGCAUCAGCACUAAGGAAUUAGUACACCCACCUUGGUGCCCGCCACUUUACCAAACACUAUUCUCUAGGGGUAACUGUAUUCUCUUUCGACUCCGCUUCGGAACCUAACAAUGCUAUCAUGAUAACAAAAUAAUUCAAAAUAAUAAAUCAUAUCCUAUAAAUUCAUAAUCCAAUCCGAUAGAUUCUCAUUAAAUGAUAUUAUUUACAACAUAUUAAAAAUUUAAUUCAAAAUAAUGAAUCAUAUCCUAUAAAUUCAUAAUCCAAUCCGAUAGAUUCUUAUUAAAUGAUAUUAUUUACAACAUAUUAAAAAUUCAUGGAGAUCGGACAAUUUUUCACCGUUGAUUAUCACCAAAUUGGUUCAUUAUAGCUAUCAAUCUCCAUCUUAUGUAACACGUCAUUCUAACAUUAAAUUUAACCCCCAAUAGUCCAAAAAUCAGAUUCACUCUCAAAAACUCAUUAAUUUAGGCUAAUUAACCUUAAUCUGUAAAAUAAGAACACAAGUUUUGCCACAUUUGAUAAUUUUCAAAAUCUCUCAUGUGAAUUUUUUCUCUCAAUUUUCUCAUCCCUCUCUCGGUUUUUCAUUGUUUUCUUUCUUCUUUCUUUUUCAUAAGCUAAUUAUGUAUAUAUAUAUAUAUAUAUAUACACACACACACAUGUAUAUAAUAAGUAACAGGAAAGGGUGAUGGGUGGCUGCCCAACUCAGCCGAAAAAUUAUCUAAAUUAUACUUUUUCCUCUGUAGUUUAAAUAAAUAACUCUAGGAUCCCUUGUACAUAUCAAAUUACAUUUUUGAACCCCCAAAUAAUAUCUUUAUUUUAUUUUUUUCAAUAAAAUAAAGCACGAGUAUCAAAAUUCCCUCCCCCUUAAAGAAUUUUGUUCCGAAAUUCACAUACCGUAAAAUAAGUGAGGGUUAUUUCGGCUUUCAUAAUCUCUUAUCCUUUCUCAAUCCCAAGUCGCCUCCUCGAUAGUAUGGCUUUUCCGUAAAACUUUCACUAGUUCAAUGGUCUUAUUACAAAGUAACUACGCUCGACAAUCUAAAAUCUGCACUGGCUCUUCAAUAUAAAAUAAAUCUUCCUUCAGUUCAAUUGGUUAAGAACUCAAAAUAUAUGACUGAUCAGAAAUAUACUUCUGUAACAUAGAAACAUGAAAUACAUCGUGUAACUGAGAUAACUUUGGUGGCAACAUCAAUCUAUAAGUCGUAGUCCCAAUCUGCUCAAUAAUCUCAUAAGGCCCAACAUAUCUCAGACUUAACUUGUAUUUUUUACCAAAUAGCAUUAUGCCUUUCCACAAAGACACAUGUAGAAAUAGUCGAUCACCCACUACAAACUCCAAAUCUUUUCUUCGAUUGUCUGCGUAACUUUUCUGGCGGCUAUGUGCAAUCUUCAUACGUUAUUUAACAAUUCUUACUUUAUUAGCAGUCUCUUCAACUAUUUCUAAACCCAAUAUCUUCUUUUCUACCACAUCACUCCAACACACAAGAGUCCUACAUCUCCGAUAAUAUAAAGCUUCAUAAGGAACCAUACCAAUACUAGAAUGAUAACUGUUAUUAUAAGCAAAUUCUAUCAAAGGUAAAAGUUCAUCCCAACUACUUUUGAAAUCUAACACACAAGAGCGCAACAUAUCCUCCAAAGUUUGAAUAGUUUGCUCAGACUACCCAUCUAUCUGUGGAUGAAAAGUUGUAUUUCAAAGUAAUACCCAUAGCUUGUUGUAAGCUUAGCCAAAAUCUAGAAGUAAAUCUAGAAUCUCUGUCAACAAUAAUAGACACUAGUGCACCAUGUAAUCGGAUAAUUUUGUCAACGUACAACUUAACAUACCUAUCACUCAAAUAAGUACUUUUAACAUGCCGAAAAUAUCUGACUUAGUCAAUCUUAUCCACAAUCACCCAAAUAGAAUCAAUUGCCUUUUUGUGAACGAGGAGGGCGAAAAAAAAUCCAUCGUGAUAUGGCUCCCACGUCCAUUCAUGAAUAGGAAGAGGUUAUAACAAACCUGUGGGUCACUGAUGUUCUGUUUUUAUCUGCUGACAAACUAAACAACGAGCAACGAACUCAGUUACCUCCCUCUUCAUUCUAAUCCACCAGUAAUGGUCCUUAAGAUCAUGAUACAUCUUAGUACUUUCGAGAUGCAUGACAUAAGGUAAAUUAUGUGCCCCUCUAAAGGCCUGAUCAUCUAGUACACAAAGUCGAGUACCAAAUAACAAUAACCCAUGAUCACUAACAAUAAAAUCUGUCCAGAUGGCAUCUCUGAUUUCUCUUCUAAUUUUCUCUGACUGUGGAUCUUGAGGUUGCAUUUCUCGUAUACGAUCAAUCAACAAUCAUCUCACUCUAAAUUGAGAUUUUAACGCAUUAGUGUCUGUCAUAAUCAUCUCCCCAGCUGUCAACCUCAAAUUAGUGAAAGCACUAACACGAUGACAUUGAAUACAUGUCAACAAACCUGAUGAUUUUCAACUUAAAGCAUCUGCUACAACAUUUGUUUGCCCUGGAUGAUAAUGUAUAGUGCAAUCAUAGUCUUUAAUCAACUCCAUUCAUUACCUUUAUCUCAAAUUCAAAUCUUUCUAUGAGAAUAAGUACUUCAAACUUUUAUGAUCCAUAAAAAUCUCACAAGUCUCUCCAUAAAAGUAAUGUCUCCAAAGUUUCAAAGCAAAAACAACUACAACUAACUCUAAAUCGUAAGUAAGUUAAUUCUGUUCAUGGUUCUUCAAUUGUCUCGAAGCAUAAGCAAUCACUUGCCCACGUUACAUUAGUACACAUCCUAACCUCUGGUGCGAUGAGUCACUAUAGAUAGAUAAAAUCUCCCCCGUUGAAAAAAAGUCAAUAUAGGACCAAAACAACCUAGCCCUUCAUGUUAAAAACUUGCUACAUGCAUCAUAUCAUUCAUACUUUACAUCUUUUCGAGUAAGUGUACUCAAUGCCAUAGCAAGUGAUAAAAAAUUCUAGAUAAACUGACAAUAAUACCCUGCCAAAGCUAUGAAACUUCUAACUUCUAAAACAGUUGUCAGUCGUUGUCACUUAACCACAGUUUCACCUUUUUGGGAUUAACACAAAUACCGUCCCCAGAAAUAACAUGUCCUAAGAAAACAACAUUAUCCAACCAAAACUCACAUUUUCUUAGCUUAGCAAAUAACCUCUUCUUAUAAAGUUUUCAAUGCAAUACGUAAAUGAUAAAUAUGAUCUUCCCUGCUAUGAGAGUAUAUCAUAAUAUCAUCAAUAAAUGCAACAAUAAAUCUAUCAAGGUAUGGCUGAAAUACCCUAAUCAUCAAAUCCAUAAAAAUAGAUGGGGCAUUCGUCAGACCAAAAAGCAUAACCACAAAUUCAUAAUGUCCGUAUCUGGUACAAAAUGUAGUUUUAGGAAUAUUACUAUCUCUCACUUUCAACUGAUGUACCCAAAUUUGAGAUCAAUCUUAGAAAAUACCAAAGCACCCUGCAACUAAUCGAAUAAGUCAUCAAUCCAAGAUAAAGGGUAUUUAUUAUUUAUUUUUACCUUAUUGAGUUGACGAUAAUUAAUAAAUAUUCUCAUUGUGCUAUUCUUCUUCUUUACAAACAACACUGGAGCUCCCCAAGGCGAUAAUAUUGGCUGAAUAAAACCCUGAUCAAGUAAAUAUUGCAAUUGAGCCUUUAAUUCUUUUAGUUCAGCUGAAGCCAUUCAAUAUGGUGAAAUAGAUAUAGGAGCAGUCAUUGGCACUAAUUCAACAAAAAACUCCACUUCUCUAUCUCGUACUGUCCCUGGCAACUCUUCAAGAAACAUAUCUGAAAACUCUUGCACUACGAGAAUAUUCUGCAAUCUAACUUCUGGUUUCUCAAUAUCAAUCACAUGUGCUUAGUAACUCCCACAACCUUUAAUAAGUAACUUCCUCGCCUUCAAUGCAGAAAUAAAACAAUUUGGAGUAAUAUUUUGAUCACCACAAAAUCUGAAUUCAGGCUCAUUCAAUAUACGAAAUAUAACUUCCUUUUUAAAACAAUCAAUAGAAGCAUGAUAUGAUGCUAGCAAAUUUAUACAUCGAAAUCGCAAGUAUCAAGAAGCACUAAAUAAACAUAUAACUUUCUAUCGCCCACACGUAAUACACCACCCCUAUAUAUCACAUCUACCUACACAACAUCCCCAAUAUGAGUAGAUAUAAAUAAGUAGUGAUCUAAUAUUACCAUGAUUUGAUCUAAAUGUAUGGCAAAUGAU
rnacentral:lncRNA from 1 species